rnacentral:rRNA from 1 species
GAUGAACGCUGGCGGCGUGCUUAACACAUGCAAGUCGAACGGAGAAAGGGUAGCUUGCUAUCUUUUCUUAGUGGCGGACGGGUGAGUAACGCGUGGGUAACCUGCCCUUUGCAGGGGGAUAACAGUGAGAAAUCACUGCUAAUACCGCAUACCAACUUCUUUCGCAUGAAAGAAGUUUGAAAGAUUUAUCGGCAAAGGAUGGACCCGCGUUGGAUUAGCUAGUUGGUGAGAUAACAGCCACCAAGGCAACGAUCCAUAGCCGGCCUGAGAGGGUGAACGGCCACACUGGGACUGAGACACGGCCCAGACUCCUACGGGAGGCAGCAGUGGGGAAUAUUGCACAAUGGGCGAAAGCCUGAUGCAGCGACGCCGCGUGAAGGAUGAAGGUCUUCGGAUUGUAAACUUCUAUCAGCAGGGAAGAAAGGGCCUAUGGCCUAUGACGGUACCUGACUAAGAAGCCCCGGUAACUACGUGCCAGCAGCCGCGGUAAAAGUACUA